rnacentral:rRNA from 1 species
UACGUAGGCAGCGAGCGUUGUUCGGAGUUACUGGGCGUAAAGGGUGUGUAGGCGGUUGCUUAAGUUUGGUGUGAAAUCUCCCGGCUCAACUGGGAGGGUGCGCCGAAUACUGAGUGACUCGAGUGCGGGAGAGGAGAGUGGAAUUCCUGGUGUAGCGGUGGAAUGCGUAGAGAUCCGGAGGAAGACCGGUGGCGAAGGCGGCCUGCUGGGCAGUUACUGACACUGAGGCGCGACAGCGUGGGGAGCAAACAGG